UACGGGGGGAGCAAGCGUUGUUCGGAUUUACUGGGCGUAAAGGGCGCGUAGGCGGCCAGCACAAGUCAGUUGUGAAAUCUCCGGGCUUAACUCGGAAAGGUCAACUGAUACUGUGCGGCUAGAGUGCGGAAGGGGCAACUGGAAUUCUCGGUGUAGCGGUGAAAUGCGUAGAUAUCGAGAGGAACACCGGUGGCGAAGGCGGGUCUCUGGGCCAUUACUGACGCUGAGGAGCGAAAGCGUGGGGAGCGAACAGG
rnacentral:rRNA from 1 species